rnacentral:tRNA from 1 species
GCCGAGGUGGCGGAGUUCGGACUAACGCGCGAGCCUGGAAAGCUCGUCUCCGAAAGGAGGCUUGGGUUCAAAUCCCAACCUCGGCG